ACUUCCCUGACCCUCCUGGGGAAAGAGGCUUAUGUCCCUGUGUUAACACAGGGACAUAGGCCUCUUUCCCCAGGAGGGUCAGGGAAGGCCUCCUG
rnacentral:miRNA from 1 species